GGGGGCGAAACGGGUUCGACGGAGGUAAAGAAGCUUACGUUGCAUGCCGAGGUCCUGACUCCUCGUAAAACCGUUGGGGCUAAACACAAACGCAGACGAUUAUGCGUACGCCGUAGCCGCGUAAGCGGCUACCGUUCCCGCGGCCUUCUCCUGCGAGGCCGUACGGAGCGUCGACUCAGCGGGAUGGUUUUCGGCGUGUUGCCUGCAGCGCCGCGAACGAGACUCUGCGGGCUAGCGAAGGCGGCAUCCUGCCCGUGGGAGGCUUCCGGAGCGAAACUCAAAAUGCGGGAUAAGCAUGUAGAAGCCUAGGCGGAAUGCUUUCGGACGCGGGUUCAACUCCCGCCGCCUCCACCA
rfam:Syntrophobacter fumaroxidans MPOB, complete genome.